rnacentral:rRNA from 1 species
ACGAACGCUGGCGGCGUGCUUAACACAUGCAAGUCGAACGGAGAUAGUUUGAAAGCUUGCUGAUAACUAUCUUAGUGGCGCACGGGUGAGUAACACGUGGGCAACCUGCCCGGAAGACUGGGAUAACACCUCGAAAGGGGUGCUAAUACCGGAUACCUUCACGAAGUCGCAUGACUUUGUGCAGAAAGAAAUUCGCUUCCGGAUGGGCCCGCGUCCCAUUAGCUAGUUGGCGAGGUAACGGCUCACC